AGAGUUUGAUCCUGGCUCAGGAUGAACGCUGGCGGCGUGCUUAACACAUGCAAGUCGAACGAGCCUUCGGGCUAGUGGCGGACGGGUGAGUAACGCGUGGGAAUCUGCCCUCAGGAGGGGGAUAACGGCCGGAAACGGCCGCUAAUACCCCAUAUGCCGAGAGGUGAAACGAAUUUCGCCUGAGGAUGAGCCCGCGUCUGAUUAGCUAGUUGGUGGGGUAAGAGCCCACCAAGGCGACGAUCAGUAGCUGGUCUGAGAGGAUGAUCAGCCACACUGGGACUGAGACACGGCCCAGACUCCUACGGGAGGCAGCAGUGGGGAAUUUUCCGCAAUGGGCGAAAGCCUGACGGAGCAACGCCGCGUGAGGGAUGAAGGCCUCUGGGCCGUAAACCUCUUUUCUCAAGGAAGAAGACAUGACGGUACUUGAGGAAUAAGCCACGGCUAAUUCCGUGCCAGCAGCCGCGGUAAUACGGGAGUGGCAAGCGUUAUCCGGAAUUAUUGGGCGUAAAGCGUCCGCAGGCGGCCUUGUAAGUCUGUCGUUAAAGCGUGGAGCUCAACUCCAUUUAAGCGAUGGAAACUACAAGGCUGGAGUGUGGUAGGGGCAGAGGGAAUUCCCGGUGUAGCGGUGAAAUGCGUAGAUAUCGGGAAGAACACCAGUGGCGAAGGCGCUCUGCUGGGCCAUAACUGACGCUCAUGGACGAAAGCCAGGGGAGCGAAAGGGAUUAGAUACCCCUGUAGUCCUGGCCGUAAACGAUGAACACUAGGUGUCGGGGGAAUCGACCCCCUCGGUGUCGUAGCCAACGCGUUAAGUGUUCCGCCUGGGGAGUACGCACGCAAGUGUGAAACUCAAAGGAAUUGACGGGGGCCCGCACAAGCGGUGGAGUAUGUGGUUUAAUUCGAUGCAACGCGAAGAACCUUACCAGGGUUUGACAUCCUGCGAAUCCCUUGGAAACGAGGGAGUGCCUUCGGGAGCGCAGAGACAGGUGGUGCAUGGCUGUCGUCAGCUCGUGUCGUGAGAUGUUGGGUUAAGUCCCGCAACGAGCGCAACCCACGUCUUUAGUUGCCAGCAUUCAGUUGGGCACUCUAGAGAGACCGCCGGUGAUAAACCGGAGGAAGGUGUGGAUGACGUCAAGUCAUCAUGCCCCUUACAUCCUGGGCUACACACGUACUACAAUGCUACGGACAAAGGGCAGCAAGCUCGCGAGAGUAAGCAAAUCCCAUAAACCGUGGCUCAGUUCAGAUCGUAGGCUGCAACUCGCCUACGUGAAGGAGGAAUCGCUAGUAAUCGCAGGUCAGCAUACUGCGGUGAAUACGUUCCCGGGCCUUGUACACACCGCCCGUCACACCAUGGAAGUUGGCCAUGCCCGAAGUCGUUACUCCAACCC
rnacentral:rRNA from 1 species